AGUGAACGCUGGCGGUAGGCCUAACACAUGCAAGUCGAACGGCAGCACAGUAAGAGCUUGCUCUUACGGGUGGCGAGUGGCGGACGGGUGAGGAAUACAUCGGAAUCUACUUUUUCGUGGGGGAUAACGUAGGGAAACUUACGCUAAUACCGCAUACGACCUACGGGUGAAAGCAGGGGAUCUUCGGACCUUGCGCGAUUGAAUGAGCCGAUGUCGGAUUAGCUAGUUGGCGGGGUAAAGGCCCACCAAGGCGACGAUCCGUAGCUGGUCUGAGAGGAUGAUCAGCCACACUGAAACUGGGACACGGUCCAGACUCCUACGGGAGGCAGCAGUGGGGAAUAUGGGCCAAUGGGCGCAAGCCUGAGCCAGCCAUACCGCGUGGGUGAAGAAGGCCUUCGGGUUGUAAAGCCCUUUUGUUGGGAAAGAAAAGCAGCAGGUUAAUACCCCGCUGUUCUGACGGUACCCAAAGAAUAAGCACCGGCUAACUUCGU
rnacentral:rRNA from 1 species